UUCUCGCUCAAAGAAUCGCAUUCGAAGCACACAUACAGAAAUAUCUUCAUCGAUGUUUCAAUUCACUUUAAUGCUUUGGGAGAAAGUCCCCGGACACCCUACUUUCUAAAAGUUAGGACUGCGGAAACGCGCCGCCAUAGAAGCACUUGCGGCUUCUCUUCUACCAAUUCUUUACCUUCAAUUCAUACAUCCUUCUGCCGUUUGUACCAUUAUCCUGAAGCUUCUUGACAAUUGGGUUCAGAGCUUGGAAGACCAUAUGGAUGAAGAUAUGAGUCCGAGCUUCCUUGCAAUGUUUUCAAUUAAAUAGAUGAAGAUGGGUUAUGGGUGGUAGAAGACAUGUUCUUGAUUAAGAUGGGAGUGCUAAUGGCAGAUGAGGCUUAUUCGUCGAGAUCGAUAGUUAUGCGAUUGCUUUCCUUCGCUGCAAAGCUGGGAAAGUAACUCGAUGGGGCUUAUUCUUGAUGCAAGA
rnacentral:RNase_MRP_RNA from 2 species